rnacentral:lncRNA from 1 species
CACGUGAAUGCUCAAACGGAGUGAAAGUGGGUAGGGGCUAGUUUUAAAAAAAGCACCUGCAUGUGACUGCAGGAGAAACAAGCUUGUGAAUUAUGUGAUCAGAUAUUAACAGUUAAAACUGUUAUCUGUAUGCACCACACAUUUUUAACAUUGUUUAGGCUACCUUAUUAAGUAUGUGUUCAAUAUUUCACUUUAUGUCCACUCCCACUCAAACCCCACUCAAACAGCUGUUGUCAAUUCACUGAUGGGCAAGUUCAUGGAUUGGACUUUUCAAUUGUAUACAUUAGUCUAGUUUCACUCUGAAAAGGCUGGAUUUUGUGGUAAGACAUUGGUUUUACAGCUGCUUCUCACCAGAGGCUGUAGACACCAUGGCUACAGAUUUAAUUGUAUGGGCUUGGGCUGUUUUUGUGUUGAGGACUGUGUUGUCUGAAGUUCCAGAAGGGUUAGGACCAGUUUCUGGCAGCACUGGAGGUUAUGGCCCUGAUUCCUUGAACUCCACAUCAGGAGAGGCUGCUGACUCUUCAAGUCAUGAACCUAAACCGCAUCAGUCUUUGUCUCUACACAAACCAGAGACCUUGGGAAAUCCUGAUGUGCAGUGGAUCCUAGCAAAUCCCUUAAGCUCUAGACGGGUUCCUUUUGGCUCUAAAUACGGCCACAAAGUUCUAGGUAGUUCUCAAGAGGGUCGAGGUGACAGCAACACUGCAGUGCCCCCCAGUUAUAGUAGCGCUUUACCAAGUAAUCCUGGAGGCAUGGUUGUCCACCCAAGCAGCUCUACCAAGUUCCCCCAGGGCCAGAGCUAUCAGUCUAGUGCAUUCAAUGUGAUUCAGCCAACCAACUCUAAAUUAUUUCAGAACAAAGAUGCCCCCAGCAUGGGCCAAGAUGCCCCCAACCCCAGUGAACCAGGCAGCCAAGAUGCCCCCAACCCCAGUGAGCCAGGCAGACCAGAUGCCCCAGGUGCAGGCCCAGAUGCCUCCAGCAUGGGCCGGGUGCUGCAAAGAUUUCCAGAACAGUUUAUAAGCCGAAAGACGGUGGAUGUAAUGCAAGUCCUUAAUGAACCAAAUUCUAAAUUCUUUCAGAACAAAGAUGAACUUGACCAAGAACUCAUCCAAUCCUCUGAAAUGCAUGAACCUGACGCAAGCACAGUGUAUAGAUGGCCUGUGUCAAAUAUUCAACUGCAGAGUCAACACAGUGGUGCUGUCCAAAUUGAGCGGCGACCUUCCAAAGGGGCAGAUUUUCAAGCAAGGCCUCAGACUAAUGACCAGGUGCUGCAAAGUUUUCCUGAACAGUUUAUAAGCCAAAAGACAGUGGAUGUAAUCAAAGUCCUUAAUGACCCAAAUUCUGAAUCUCUGUAUGGCAGUAAGACCUCACAGGAGGCGGAAUGUGCUUCUAAUGUUUUGCACCAAAAAGAGCAGGGGAGCCAGCAACCUAUUCAGUCUACUGACACCACUGUGAGUCAUGGUGUCCAGAUGCUUGAGCCCAGUAAAACUAACCCUGUCCAGAGUCCAAAUGAGUUUUAUUCAGAGCCAGACCCACAGUUUGGAUCUGAAGGCACCCUAAGGCCUGGUUCUCAGUCUGCUGCCACUGCCACAGAGAUACUGGGCACAACCUCAGGCUACUUGAGUCCACAUGAGCCAAAGUACCAGCUACCUGCUCAGACCAGCUCUAGCUACAGCUAUGGAACUAGUGGGCAGCUUGCUAAUAAAGGGGAUCCAGUGCCUUCUGAGAUGCCCCCAGCCCCAGUAAACCGGAUGCCCCAGGCGCAGGCCCAGAUGCCACUUCCUCAAAUGACUGCAUCAAACCUGUGGCGACCUUCCAAGGGGGAAGUUUUUCAAGCAAGGCCUCAGACUAAUGACAGGGUCCUGCAAAGUUUUCCUGAACGGUAUAUAAGCCAAAAGACAGUGGAUGUAAUCAAAGUCCUUAAUGAACCAAAUUUUAAAUUCUUUCAGAACAAAGAUGAACUUGACCAAGAAACCAUCCAAUCCUCUGAAAUGCAUGAACCUGACGCAAGCACAGUGUAUAGAUGGCCUGUGUCAAGUAUUCAACUGCAGAGUCAACACAGUGGUGCUGUCCAAACUGAACAAAUUCAAGCAGGGCCUCAGACUAAUGACAGGGUGCUGCAAAGAUUUCCUGAACGGUUUAUAAGCCAAAAGCCGGUGGAUGUAAUGCAACUCAAUGAACCAAAUUCUAAAUUCUUUCAGAACAAAGAUGAACUUGACCAAGAACCCAUCCAAUCCUCUGAAAUGCAUGAACCUGACGCAAGCACAGCGUAUAGAUGGCCUGUGUCAAGUAUUCAACUGCAGAGUCAACACAGUGGUGCUGUCCAAACUGAGCGGCGACCUUCCAUAGGGGCAGAUUUUCAAGCAAGGCCUCAGUAUUUUGCCCCCAGCGAACCAGGCAGACCAGGUGCAGGAUCAGAUGCCUCCAGCAUGGGCCAAGAUGCCCCCAGCCUCAGUGAGCCAGGCAGCCAAGAUGCCCCCAACCCCAGUGAGCCAGGCAGCCAAGAUGCCACAGGCAUAGAUGCCCCCAGCAUGGGCCAAGAUGCCCCAAACCCCAGUGAACCAGGCAGCCAAGAUGCCACAGGCCCAGAUGCCCCCAGCAUGGGCCAAGAUGCCCCCAACCCCAGUGAGCCAGGCAGACAAGAUGCCCCAGGUGCAGGCCAAGAUGCCUCCAGCAUGGGCCGGGUGAAUGACCGGGUGCUGCGAAGAUUUCCUGAACAGUUUUUAAGCCAAAAGACACAAAACACAGUGUAUAGAUGGCCUGUGUCAAGUAUUCAACUGCAGAGUCAACACAGUGGUGCUGUCCAAACUGAACAAAUUCAAGCAAGGCCUCAGACUAAUGACAGGGUGCUGCAAAGAUUUCCUGAACGGUUUACAAGCCAAAAGCCGGUGGAUGUAAUGCAACUCAAUGAACCAAAUUCUAAAUUCUUUCAGAACAAAGAUGAACUUGACCAAGAAACCAUCCAAUCCUCUGAAAUGCAUGAACCUGACGCAAGCACAGUGUAUAGAUGGCCUGUGUCAAGUAUUCAACUGCAGAGUCAACACAGUGGUGCUGUCCAAACUGAACAAAUUCAAGCAGGGCCUCAGACUAAUGACAGGGUGCUGCAAAGAUUUCCUGAACGGUUUAUAAGCCAAAAGCCGGUGGAUGUAAUGCAACUCAAUGAACCAAAUUCUAAAUUCUUUCAGAACAAAGAUGAACUUGACCAAGAAACCAUCCAAUCCUCUGAAAUGCAUGAACCUGACGCAAGCACAGUGUAUAGAUGGCCUGUGUCAAGUAUUCAACUGCAGAGUCAACACAGUGGUGCUGUCCAAACUGAACAAAUUCAAGCAGGGCCUCAGACUAAUGACAGGGUGCUGCAAAGAUUUCCUGAACGGUUUAUAAGCCAAAAGCCGGUGGAUGUAAUGCAACUCAAUGAACCAAAUUCUAAAUUCUUUCAGAACAAAGAUGAACUUGACCAAGAACCCAUCCAAUCCUCUGAAAUGCAUGAACCUGACGCAAGCACAGCGUAUAGAUGGCCUGUGUCAAGUAUUCAACUGCAGAGUCAACACAGUGGUGCUGUCCAAACUGAGCGGCGACCUUCCAUAGGGGCAGAUUUUCAAGCAAGGCCUCAGUAUUUUGCCCCCAGCGAACCAGGCAGACCAGGUGCAGGAUCAGAUGCCUCCAGCAUGGGCCAAGAUGCCCCCAGCCUCAGUGAGCCAGGCAGCCAAGAUGCCCCCAACCCCAGUGAGCCAGGCAGCCAAGAUGCCACAGGCAUAGAUGCCCCCAGCAUGGGCCAAGAUGCCCCAAACCCCAGUGAACCAGGCAGCCAAGAUGCCACAGGCCCAGAUGCCCCCAGCAUGGGCCAAGAUGCCCCCAACCCCAGUGAGCCAGGCAGACAAGAUGCCCCAGGUGCAGGCCAAGAUGCCUCCAGCAUGGGCCGGGUGAAUGACCGGGUGCUGCGAAGAUUUCCUGAACAGUUUUUAAGCCAAAAGACACAAAACACAGUGUAUAGAUGGCCUGUGUCAAGUAUUCAACUGCAGAGUCAACACAGUGGUGCUGUCCAAACUGAACAAAUUCAAGCAAGGCCUCAGACUAAUGACAGGGUGCUGCAAAGAUUUCCUGAACGGUUUACAAGCCAAAAGCCGGUGGAUGUAAUGCAACUCAAUGAACCAAAUUCUAAAUUCUUUCAGAACAAAGAUGAACUUGACCAAGAAACCAUCCAAUCCUCUGAAAUGCAUGAACCUGACGCAAGCACAGUGUAUAGAUGGCCUGUGUCAAGUAUUCAACUGCAGAGUCAACACAGUGGUGCUGUCCAAACUGAACAAAUUCAAGCAGGGCCUCAGACUAAUGACAGGGUGCUGCAAAGAUUUCCUGAACGGUUUAUAAGCCAAAAGCCGGUGGAUGUAAUGCAACUCAAUGAACCAAAUUCUAAAUUCUUUCAGAACAAAGAUGAACUUGACCAAGAACCCAUCCAAUCCUCUGAAAUGCAUGAACCUGACGCAAGCACAGCGUAUAGAUGGCCUGUGUCAAGUAUUCAACUGCAGAGUCAACACAGUGGUGCUGUCCAAACUGAGCGGCGACCUUCCAUAGGGGCAGAUUUUCAAGCAAGGCCUCAGUAUUUUGCCCCCAGCGAACCAGGCAGACCAGAUGCCCCAGGUGCAGGAUCAGAUGCCUCCAGCAUGGGCCAAGAUGCCCCCAGCCUCAGUGAGCCAGGCAGCCAAGAUGCCCCCAACCCCAGUGAGCCAGGCAGCCAAGAUGCCACAGGCAUAGAUGCCCCCAGCAUGGGCCAAGAUGCCCCAAACCCCAGUGAACCAGGCAGCCAAGAUGCCACAGGCCUAGAUGCCCCCAGCAUGGGCCAAGAUGCCCCAAACCCCAGUGAACCAGGCAGCCAAGAUGCCACAGGCCCAGAUGCCCCCAGCAUGGGCCAAGAUGCCCCCAACCCCAGUGAGCCAGGCAGACAAGAUGCCCCAGGUGCAGGCCAAGAUGCCUCCAGCAUGGGCCGGGUGAAUGACCGGGUGCUGCGAAGAUUUCCUGAACAGUUUUUAAGCCAAAAGACACAAAACACAGUGUAUAGAUGGCCUGUGUCAAGUAUUCAACUGCAGAGUCAACACAGUGGUGCUGUCCAAACUGAACAAAUUCAAGCAAGGCCUCAGACUAAUGACAGGGUGCUGCAAAGAUUUCCUGAACGGUUUAUAAGCCAAAAGCCGGUGGAUGUAAUGCAACUCAAUGAACCAAAUUCUAAAUUCUUUCAGAACAAAGAUGAACUUGACCAAGAACCCAUCCAAUCCUCUGAAAUGCAUGAACCUGACGCAAGCACAGUGUAUAGAUGGCCUGUGUCAAGUAUUCAACUGCAGAGUCAACACAGUGGUGCUGUCCAAACUGAGCGGCGACCUUCCAUAGGGGCAGAUUUUCAAGCAAGGCCUCAGUAUUUUGCCCCCAGCCCCAGUGAACCAGGCAGACCAGAUGCCCCAGGUGCAGGAUCAGAUGCCUCCAGCAUGGGCCAAGAUGCCCCCAGCCCCAGUGAGCUAGGCAGCCAAGAUGCCACAGGCCCAGAUGCCCCCAGCAUGGGCCAAGAUGCCCCCAACCCCAGUGAACCAGGCAGCCAAGAUGCCCCCAACCCCAGUGAACCAGGCAGACAAGAUGCCCCAGGUGCAGGCCCAGAUGCCUCCAGCAUGGGCCGGGUGAAUGACCGGGUGCUGCAAAGAUUUCCUGAACAGUAUACAAACCAAAAGACAGUGGAUGUAAUCAAAGUCCUUAAUGACCCAAAUUCUGAAUCUCUGUAUGGCAGUAAGACCUCACAGGAGGCAAAACGGGCUUCUAAUGUUUUGCACCAAAAAGAGCAGGGGAGCCAGCAACCUAUUCAGUCUACUGACACCACUGUGAGUCAUGGUGUCCAGAUGCUUGAGCCCAGUAAAACCAACCCUGUCCAGAGUCCAAAUGAGUUUUAUUCAGAGCCAGACCCACAGUUUGGAUCUGAAGGCACCCUAAGGCCUGGUUCUCAGUCUGCUGCCACUGCCACAGAGAUACUGGGCACAACCUCAGGCUACUUGAGCCCACAUGAGCCAAAGUACAGGCUACCUGCUCAGACCAGCUCUAGCUACAGCUAUGGAACUAGUGGGCAGCUUGCUAAUAAAGGGGAUCCAGUGCCUUCUGGAAGUCAUGGCCCUAUCAGAAGCCAAGGUGGAGUUGAGGGCAGACAGCCCAGUGGUGAGCAAAACUUGCCUUCAAGAGUUGAUUCACUCAAUCGGCUUAAGCAAGCUCUUCACAAUGUGUCAAGAGGUCACCUGUUUCACUCUGUUAUGCAGAGGCUUAUUCCAGCUAGUUCUCCCUCCUGGAACAUGGGUGAAGGAUGGGAUUUCGUCACGUCGCCUUCACCUUUGGUGAACGUGUAUGGAAGUGGAUCUAGUAGUGCCUUGUCCAAUGCUGUGUCAGCCCACAGAGGCAAUGAUGGCUCCGCAAGGAAGGGGACCACCAUCCAGCAAACUACUAAAGAAGCCCCUAAAGGACCCUUGCAAAUGUCGGCUGCCUGUUUGACACGUAAAGUAAUCCCUGUCCAGAGGAGAAUUCCAGCAAAAAGCUUCUAUCGGAAAAUGUCUGCUGUGAAACCAGCUAAACACCAUUGGCCUCUCCGUACUCCAAAAUGGUUUCGCAGGCUAAGGGUCCUGGAAGGUGAGUGGUGUGUGUGUGCGUUGCUGGGUUUUUUUGGGGGGAGGAGGGUGGGGUUUUACUCCAUACUGCAGGUAUACAUAUCAGGCAGUAACUUGGUUCUUUCAUUACAGGAAAAUGUGAAGGGGCUGCCAACAAACUUAAAAGAUGGUAAGACUGAAUUCUUGAAGGACAAAAAAAAUGGCUCUUCAUCCCAUCCUGACUGAUCAUGAUGUGCUUGUUACUGGAUUUUUGACAGAAUUUUAAAUAAAUGCAUAAAUCUGAU